ACCGAUUCAGGGACUCUGUCCCUGACUCGGGCUAUAUGGAGUCUGCACUGUAGGUUUUUACUUUCUUUUUGCAUCAGUCAGUGUAGAAAAGUGAAACAAGGAGAAUAAAUUUAUUCGGUUGUGGACUAAGCUGAUAAGUUCAUACAUACCCAUAUUAUCCGCAUCAAUACUUUUUACUAGAGAUUUUGUUACCAUUUUUCAUGUUUGUCACGUAAAACUUGUUCAUGUGAACAGAUCACGAUAAAAGGAGUAUUAUCGAAUCGGAUGAAUCGUUCAACAAAUUAAUGAAACUAUACGUGUUUCCUUAUUCUUGUCGACUCUCUUAUCAACUAUAAACAUCUCCGAAGGCAACCACUAUCACACACAUGGUACAAAUAAAUAGAAUGUGAAGGUAGAUCCGAUUUUUCAAUCCAAAACCUACUUUAGACAGAUAUGAUGAUGACCGCGAUAUGACAAAUCAUGCGAUUCCCUAUGUACAUAAGUUCCUGUUAGUUGGUUAUUAUCUCUUCUCAACAAUCAGAAUUGUGUGACGUUUAAGUUGAACAAUCAUCGAGACACAUACAUUUAAUCAUAAACUCUGAAAUACCAAUAUGUGGACGCUUAAUCAAUCCACUCAACAGUUUUCUAUCAAAGGAUGCGAUUGGACAUAAGGGAACAAAAAUUUGCAAAAUUUGUAACGCCUAAUUUUGCUGGAAAAUUUGGUAACUAAAGAAUGGUGACUGGCAAGGAACGGUAGUCACAACAAAGGAAAAUCAAUACUCACUCGAAGAAAUCUGAAUCCUCCACAUUUGACAAUUGCGUGCAGAAUCAUCAAUCAUCAUACAUGCUUGUUUCGAGUUGGAUUUUGGUCCAAGUCUGGAAAAUUGCCAAAAAGAACACCAAUUACUAACUAAGAAGAAGGACUAGAGACACAACCAUGCAUUCUUC